rnacentral:misc_RNA from 1 species
GAUGAAGAACGUAGUGAAAUGCGAUACUUGGUGUGAAUUGCAGAAUCCCGUGAACCAUCGAGUCUUUGAACGCAAGUUGCGCCCGAAGCCAUUAGGCCGAGGGCACGCCUGCCUGGGCGUCACACGUCGUUGCCCCCCCAUCUACUCCUUCGGGAUUGCGGGGGGCGGAUGAUGGCCUCCCGUGCGCCUCGUCGCGCGGUUGGCAUAAAUGCCAAGUCCUCGGCGACGCAUGCCACGACAAUCGGUGGUUGCGAAACCUCGGUUGCCCGUCGUGUGCGGUCGUCGCGCAUCGAGGGCUCGAAAAAAUUGUCGGGCUCCGGCUCGGCUUUCAACGCGACCCCAGGUCAGGCGGGGUUACCCGCUGAAUUUAAGCAUAUCAAUAAGCGGAGGA